AUUGUGGGGGGUCAAUUUUUUCUCAUUUCAGAUUUCAGAAAUUAAAAAGAAUUAUUCUUCAAAUAUUAUUUUUUUUUCAAAUUUCAAAUAUUGAAAAAUUUCAAGAAGUAAUCUUUAAUUGCACAGUAUGGCGCAUUAGAUUUGUAAAAUCUUUGAUCACAUUUAUUUAUUUGUUAUGCCGAAUCUAACAGUGUAUUUAGAUUUUUAAUUUUGGGUCCAGUUUUCAAAUUGGUCUACAUUAAGGUCCAAAGGGUCCAAAAUUAAACUUUGUUUGAUUUUAGCAAAAAUUGAAUAUAUGAGGUUCUUUGAUAUGCUGAAUCUAAACAUGUAUUUAGAUUUUUGAUUUUUGGCCCAGUUUUCAAGUUAGUCCAAAUUGGGGUCCAAAAUUAAACUUUGUUUGAUUUCAACAAAAAUUGAAUAUAUGGGGUUCUUUGAUAUGCUGAAUCUAACCAUGUAUUUAGAUUUUUUAUUUGUGGACCCCGUUAUCAAAUUGGUUCAUAUUGAGGUCAAAAGGGUCCAAAAUUAAACUUUGUUUGAUUUCAUCAAAAAUUGAAUUAUUGGGGUUCUUUGAUAUUCCAAAUCUAACCGUGUAUUUAGAUUUUUAAUAUUAAGUCCCGUUUUUUUAAAUUGGUCUACAUUAAGGUCCAAAGGGUCCAAAAUUAAACUUAGUUUGAUUUUAGCAAAAAUUGAAUUCUUGGGGUUCUUUGAUAUGCUGAAUCUAAACAUGUGUUUAGAUUUUUGAUUAUGGGCCCAGUUUUCAAGUUUGUCCAAGUUGGGGUCCAAAAUUAAACUUUGUUUGAUUUUAACAAAAAUUGAAUAAUGGGGUUCUUUGAUAUGCUGAAUCUAACCAUGUAUUUUGAUUUUGGACAUUGGACCAUAAUAGGUAAAUUAAAAAAAUUCAAGUUCUUAGACCACAUUCUUUCUGUGUCAGAAACCUAUGCUGUGUCAAAUAUUUAAUAACAAUCCAAAUUCAGAGCUGUAUCAAGCUUGAAUGUUGUGUCCAUACUUGCCCCAACUGUUCAGGGUUCGACCUUUGCGGUCGUAUCAAGCUGCGCCCCAGCGAAGCAUUUUAUUAAUUUUGUUUUCAAUUUCGAGAAUAAAAUAGUAUAUUCAGAUCAUUAGAUUUUGUUUAUAUGGGCUCAUUCCAGACUCUGAUAUAACAAGAUAUUAGUUACAGGUAACAAAAUGUUUGAUUAUCAUUAUAUUAACAUUCAAGAAAUAUUUACAUCGGAUUUUACUUCAUUAUCUCCCCCAAAAAUAUUUACAUUGGAUUCUUUUUUAUUAUCUCCCCCAAAAAUAUUAACAUUGGAUUCUUUUUUAUUAUCUCCCCUUAAAAUAUUUUUCCUGUGUUUAUAUUUCUGGUGAAAUAUUUGAGUCUCUUUGUUCAUGUAUUGUUAUAAUGAAUUAAAUGUGUUAAGCAUGUCUACAAAAUUAGUGUAAAUAGAGUUUUUCUGUAAUAGAAGUUUAGUUGUAAAAAUUUUAUAGUUCGUAUAGACUAUAAACAUAUUAACAUCAAUUUUAUUAAAAGAAAUAAUUUAGAA